rnacentral:rRNA from 1 species
UACGGAGGGGGCCAGCGUUGCUCGGAAUUAUUGGGCGUAAAGGGCGCGUAGGCGGCUUGGUAAGUUUGAUGUGAAAUCCCAUGGCUCAACCAUGGAACUGCAUCUCAUACUGCCGAGCUAGAGUCUGGGAGAGGGAAGCGGAAUUCCAGGUGUAGCGGUGAAAUGCGUAGAUAUCUGGAGGAACACCGGUGGCGAAGGCGGCAUUCUGGACCGAAACUGACGCUGAGGCGCGAAAGCCAGGGGAGCAAACGGG